AAAUAGGUAAUUAAAUAAAAAUAGGAUGAUAUCAUCCCUUUUUCAUCUUCUCUCCACCGAUUUUUCCAGCCAAGAAAUGGGUUUUGAAAGUUCAUAUUUUCAGCAACUUUGAGGCUUAGCAAGUAAGUGAUUUUAAUGUCUUUCUUGAAGAUUUUUACAUUUUUGUAACCCCUAAAGCAUGAGCUUUCAUAAGAGGGGACUAUUGUGCAAAAUGAUGAAGAGUCUAGGGUUUUUCCAUGAGAGUAAAUGUGUUGCUUGUUGUGUUUUUAUGGAAGAUUAUGAGUUCUAGUUGUCUAAUAAACAGCUUUUGUGAAAGAAAUUGCAUAAAAACACCUUAAAAAGGGCUAGAUUGCUAAGUUAUAAAAUGAGUUGUAAAUGUGUGAAAUAUUUGAAAUUAUGAGUUGCUAUAGUUAUGAAAAUGGUUCAUCUAGACUCAAGGAGUAAAGAAAUUGAUAAAAAUUAUUUUACGAGCCUAGGGGUAAUUUGUUAAUUUUGGUAAAAUAUAGGGGCAAAAUUGUAAAAAUAGCCCAAGUGUGUCAAUGGACUAAUUUGAUCAGUACAUUGUUUUAAUAAGUUGAAUGUGAUGUUUUAGAUGAUGAAUAUCGAGAUUUGGACCUAGAACGGAAAGAAAUCGAUUAAGGGAUAAUUACGUCUUUUUUUUACCUUUGUGGUAUUGAGGUAAGUUCGUAUGUAAACAAUACCAUGUUAUACAUGUAUUUAAAUGUUAUCAUUACAUGAAUUGUACAAAUACUAAUGUGUAUGUGAUUAAUAGAAAUAUGAUAAGACAAAGCCUUAAUAGACGAGGAAAAAUCCCGUUUGAACAUUUGGAAUAGAAUAGGAUACGAGUGACAUGUCACUAGGAAUUAUGAGUCUAGAUGACUAGCUCGAGAGUGAGCAUUGAAAUGUCAUGAGAUAUGAGGUAGCUUUAGCUACAAUUGAGGAACUUAUGUGCAAAGGCUUUUUCGAGUAUCCAAUUAGCAUUCCAAGUGUUCAACGGGUAAUCCAAGGAAAGAGUUGAUGAUGGUCCCAAUGAGGUAAGUCAUUGGUGAGUAUGCACUUGAGUUAUGUUACGAGUUGUGCAAGUAUGUAUACUAAGCCUAUGAGAAUGCCUUGAUAUGUGAUGAUCUAUGAUGCAUAAUAUGUGUUCUUACCAUGAUGGAUGAAAUGAUGUUGUAUUAAUUUUGUGAACAAUGAUCAUGAAUGAGUAACUUAGCCUUGACAGAUUUGAGUUACGGCAGUAGUGUAACUUUGAAAAUACACUAAAAAUAGUGGAAAAUGAGUUAGAGGCAGAAUAAAAUAUGGGAUUAAAUCUUAAUGAGUCUAUUUUCACAUGAAAGAAACAGGGGAAGAAAAAGAAUUCUAUAUUGUGUGAUAUUUGAAUUCUUGUAAAAUAGGGUCUGAAUGAAUUUAAGAUCCCCUGUUCUGAUUUUAUAAAUUCACCAUAAAUUGUAAACAAAUUAUUAAGAGUCAUACCUUACAUGCAUGGAUUCAUUAUUGAGUCUAUUUUUACGGGAAACAAACGGCAUGGUCAUUGGAAUUCUGUACAGGGAGAAAUUCGGUUCGUAGUGUACAGGGUCAGAGUAGUCAUACCCUGAAACAUGGAAUACUUUAACUAAUAAACUGUACUAAAUGGCUUGACCAAAAAUUUUGAAAAUUUUAUGGAAGAAAGAUAAAUGAGUCUAAUUUCAGGGAAAAUUUAUGGAACUUAAUUCGGAGUUUCGUAGCUCCAGAUAUAAAUAAUUUAGUGACUGUUGUGCAGGAAGACAGCUUGUCGUAAACUUGAGAAUAUGUUGUAAACAUGGAUAAAACAAGUUAAUGAGUUGCUUAUUGUUUUCAUAUGAACUUACUAAGCAAAAGCUUACCCCCUUCUUUUCCGUGCUCUCUAGGGUUUCCAGGUUUGUUCGGGUUGGAGUUAGUCAGAGAUAUUAUCACACUGUCAAGCUAACGCUAUUGGUGUAGUGAUUUAAAGUACUUUGAGUCUAUGGCAUGUAUAGGAGUUUAAAUAUUAGAGUAUGUGAUAUGGCUUUGACCAUAUGUGUUGGCCUAUUUUGAUUAUGGGAUUAUAAAUUCAUUUUAAUUAUUUGAGAUUUCAUGGCCCUGUUUAGUAUAGAAGUAUUAGUAAAAGUUAGGUAGCACCUCGAACUCCGUCCCGGCGUCAGAUGCGGGCGAGAGGUGUUACAUUUAGUGGUAUCAGGCUACAUUUAGUCGAUUCUAGGACUAACGUAGCACGUGUGAGUCUAGCUAUACAUGCCAUAAAGUGAUAAAAUGAUAGUGUGAUGAUUUCUGACAGUUAAAAUGUGUUUUUCGUAAUAUAAUGAAUUUCAAUCCCGAUCAAGCUGUAGCAGAUGGUAUUGAGAGGAUUGAAACAUGCUUAUGAUGUGUCAAAAUCGAGAAAGGUAUGAAUAGAAGUAUGAUAUACAUUUGAAGUAUUGAAAUGCAAAGUAAUUUUUGUAAUACCCCAUACCCGUACCUGAGACCGGGAUAGGAUACGAGGCAUUACCGAAAUUUUCAAAAUAAUUUCAAUUAAUUUAUAUUAUUUAGUAUUCAUUUUCAUGUUUCAUGUAACAUCCUUUUCAUAUAUUCAAUUCAAAAUAUCAUAUAAAAU
rnacentral:lncRNA from 1 species